ACAUGCCUACAACAUAGUGUUAAUGCAUCGGAUCCCAUUAGAACUCCGCAGUUAAGCAUGCUUAGGAUAGAGUAGUACUGGGAUGGGUGACCGCAAAGGAAGUCCUAGUGUUUUGCAUGCC
rfam:Picea glauca, whole genome shotgun sequence.